UACGAAGGGGGCUAGCGUUGCUCGGAAUCACUGGGCGUAAAGCGCACGUAGGCGGCUUUUUAAGUCGAGGGUGAAAUCCUGGAGCUCAACUCCAGAACUGCCUUUGAUACUGAGAAGCUUGAGUCCGGGAGAGGUGAGUGGAACUGCGAGUGUAGAGGUGAAAUUCGUAGAUAUUCGCAAGAACACCAGUGGCGAAGGCGGCUCACUGGCCCGGCACUGACGCUGAGGUGCGAAAGCGUGGGGAGCAAACAGG
rnacentral:rRNA from 1 species